GAGUGACUAAUUAGUAAAUUUUUUAAUAAUUUGAGGGACUAAUUAAUUUUUUUUUCUAAACUAUAGGGACUAAAUAGUAAAAUAUUUAGUGAUAAAAUUAAUAGAGGAACUAACUAGUAGACUUUUUAAAAUGUUAGAGAUAUUUUAAUAUAUUUUUCAAAAUUGAGGGACUAAGUAGAGAGUUUUUCCAUACUAUAGGGACUAAAUAGUAUUUUUUUCAUUUUAUUAUUGAUAAGGGUAUUUUUGGGAUUAUAUUUAUUCUCUUUCCUUUGACCAGGUGAAAAUUAUUGACUUAACAGAAAUUUUUGACGGAGGGACCUUGAAUUUUGACAGAAUUAAAC
rnacentral:lncRNA from 1 species